GAGUAGUUCAACGGUUAGAGCACUCGGCUUAUAUCCGAGGAGUUGUGGGUUCAAAUCCUACCUCU
rnacentral:tRNA from 1 species